GAUCCCGCGUGGCUGUGGCUGUGGUGUAGGCUGGUGGCUACAGCUCCGAUUGGACCCCUAGACUGGGAACCUCCAUAUGCUGUGAGUGUGGCCCUAAAAAGACAAAAAGACCAAAAAGUAAAAAAUAAAAAAAAAAAAAACCACAGGCAAUGAGAUGUUCAUACAGAUACAUGCUGAGAAAGGUUAGAAUUAGAAAGAGGGACAGCAGAGCGAGAGUAAUCAAAUGUAGGAAGAUGUCAGAUACACAGAGAGAAAAAGAAAAAUAUAUUUGGAGUCACACUUAACCCUCAGCUGCCUAGCCCAUAAUCACCAAGUGUCGGAUUUGUUUCUGCUGCGCCACGACAGGAACUCUCAAAUAGAAAGUUUUAUUGGAAGGCACCCACCGUCGUUCAGUUAUGUUUUUGGCUGCCGUUUACUACAGCGUCAGAGUGGAGCAGCUGUGGCAUUGACCUUAUGGCUGGGAAAGCCUAAAAUCUUGACUCUCUGACCCUUUACAGAGAGAGUUGCUGCCCCUGGUAUGGAUUGUGAUGUGGAUGCUCCCUGGAGUUGUGCAGUGCACAGCAUGCACAGCUGUACAGGAGCAGCACACAGCCACACACAUACUUUACAAAAUAAAACAAUGCCAGCAUCCUGGAGUUUAUUUUAUCAUGGCUGGCACUUUGGUUGCCUCUAAUUUUUCAGUAUUGCAAAUAACGCUGUAGGAAACAGCCUUGUCCUAUCAGACAGGCUUUUGCCUGUUCCCCAAGUUACAGCGAUCUCCAACUGAGAGCCGUGUCAAUGCAAGCAUGUGUACUGUUUCAUCCACCAUGUGGCAACUGGUGAUAAAUGAACAAUUUUUCAAUUUAAUAUUUAUGGCGGCAGCCUGAGCGAGGAAGAUCGCCUCUGACUGGUUAAGAACAACAACAACAAAAGUCUGUAAUGGUUUGGGAGAUUUUCAAAUCCUAAAUGGGAAACGCAAGUCACCUCAUUUCCUCAUUUCCAAAUGAUCGGGAAACUAUUCAGCAUGGAGAAAAUAGAGCAUUGCACGUGCUUGGCUUAGCUUCCUAUGGAAAUUGGAUCCUGACUCACUCUGUAGAAGUUGGUUUUCCCUAUGGGUAGCAACAGCUGCCUUUGUCUACAUCACUGUGAGAGGUCUGGACCACAGAAUCCUGAAUACAGCAUGCAUCUUCCCGAAUGCAGCUAAUAUUUGCAUGACUAUGGAGAGGCUGUUCCCUCUGAAGUAAAUAUUGACCUUAGUCUCUUGCUUAAUUCAAUGCUGAGACAGACACACACCAGAAUUUCUUGCAAAAUUGGUUUUCAUCCUGAUGGAAUCUGCUAGAAACCUAUCCAGGUGGCUGCUGUUUGCUAAUGGCCUUUUCUGUUGAAAAGAAAUGAAUAGAGUUGCCUGGUUGCCUAGUGGUUAGGGAUCCUACAUGGUCACUGCUGUGGCGUGUGUUUGAUUCCUGGCCUGAGAAUUUCUGCAUACCAUAGGGAGGCAAAAAAAAAAAAAAAAAAAAAAAAA
rnacentral:lncRNA from 1 species